rnacentral:tRNA from 1 species
CAGGGAGACAACAACCGAUUAUGAGUUAUGAAUAUUCAAUUUCAUUCCAUAAUCCUGUCACCUUAGGUCGAUCGGUACCUCAGUAUUAUUGCCAAAAAGGUAAUUAUAUUCAGUUCCUAAACUUGUCUAGGUCACACCCACCAAGGGUACUCCUGGGCCAUUAGCUCAGGUGGUUAGAGCGCACCCCUGAUAAGGGUGAGGUCCCUGGUUCAAGUCCAGGAUGGCCCAUUCGCGUUGGGGGUAUAGCUCAGUUGGUAGAGCGCCUGCUUUGCAAGCAGGAUGUCAGCGGUUCGAGUCCGCUUACCUCCACUGACAACCACCUACUCAAAGAAUCCUCAGGAUACUUUUAAUGGCUGUGACUUGGAUUUGUUCUAAUUUGAUGAACCUAGCUUCUUAUCAUUCCUCUCUUUAAAACUUUUUUAGAUUAGGUUGAUAUGACGCUGGGCUCUCUUUGCAAUUUUAUUUGUAAAGAAGUUUCAGUAGAACCUUGAAAACUGCAUAGUGAGUCUGGAAAGAAUAAAGCAUCUCAUGGAUGCAUUUACUUUCUUGUUUUACGGAAGGUAAAUGUUGAUUCUUGAGCAAGAGUCAAGGCUCUAUAACGUUCUUUCUUUUUUAUUUUUAAAGAAAGUCUGAUUAUUUAUUUGUUUUACACUGCUAACUAUUUUUUAAGUUUAGUUAGCUUGGGUAGCACUAAAUAAAUAAGAAUAGUACAGAUAGUACAGCUCGUUAUAGAGAUUAAU